rnacentral:rRNA from 1 species
GACGAACGCUGGCGGCGUGCCUAACACAUGCAAGUCGAACGGAAGUAAGUGCUUCGGUAUUUACUUUAGUGGCGAACGGGUGAGUAACGCGUGAGGAACCUGCCUUUCAGUGGGGGACAACAGUUGGAAACGACUGCUAAUACCGCAUAACGCUUGAGGGUGGCAUCACCUUUAAGCCAAAGGAGCAAUCCGCUGUAAGAUGGCUUCGCGUCCGAUUAGACAGUUGGCGGGGUAACGGCCCACCAAAUCUACGAUCGGUAGCCGGACUGAGAGGUUGACCGGCCACAUUGGGACUGAGAUACGGCCCAG